ensembl:miRNA gga-mir-1631 gga-mir-1631
GCUCUGGAUUAGCGAAACUGGCGACGUGGGACGGUCACCGACCCGGCCCCGCGCCCUGCCUCGCCCUCCGGGGU